rnacentral:lncRNA from 1 species
CGACAAAUCUGAGCACCAUAAAUAGUAAAACGACGACACAUGAAAGAACACCAUCAAAUAUUAACAGACACAAAACCACCAUUGUGGUUGGCAAUAAACCAAACGCCUUGAAAGUUGUAGAUCUGGAAAGAACCAGAAAUCAGAGGCAAGAAAUACAGCCACAAACUAAAGAUUUCAAACUGAACCUACCUAGAUGGGGUUUUUCUUCCAAAACCACUGACGUAACCGCCAGAGUUCUGAAAUAACAAUGGACAAACAUUCAUCUUCUCGAGUCAACAUUCAUCAUCGCGAGAAAACCUAAAAGUAGUGAUGGCCUUGCACAUCCCUAUUUGUAUAGUUGUUGGAACUAGUAUAUAGUAUAUACUCGUGUUUUUCUCUAAUGAAAGUCUUGAAUAGGAUGAAGUUUCUAUUGGGUAAAAGAUUCCCUAUUGAAAAUGCAUGCUCUAAUUCACGUCAUCAUUUCAUUUAUGCAUACUCAUUUUUCCAAUAAAUAACAGCUUAGUUGAAUUACUUGAAGUAAUUCAUUCCACGAUUCUGUUUGGUGCACCCACUGUAGUACGCUCUAACGAGCAAGAACAAUGA